GCUGGAUUUUGGGUCCUUUAGAAUGUAUUACUGCAUCAAAGCAGGGUGGCAUAGAAGGGAUCCCCCUGACUUUGGCAGCAGACGAGAUGGCUCCCCAAAUCAUCGCUGUGGAAACUUCACACUGGACCACAAGCAGCUCAGGUAGGACACUGUCUAGUUCAGGAAUGGCAUAAACACAAGGAAUGCGACAGCUGCAGCAUAUGUCUUGGAUACGACUGUGUGAGGUGGAUCUUGAAGCACCGACUCCAACUGCACUCUGCCCGGUGAAUGUCCCCAAACUCUUAAAUGAGCUAUACUUUACAAUCUUUUCAACGCUGCAGUUAUGUCUGUUGCUUGUACAACUUUUUCUCCUUACAUUUUUAUUCAGUUCAACUUUCAAAAAGAUACUUACAUACAACACUCUAACCAUACCAUGUGGUGUCUGUGUAAACUAAUUCUCUUAGUCUUGUAUUAUUUAAAUUUUCAUAAAGAAAUGAAUUUUUGGUUGUCUUUAGUUAUAAGUUGUAAUAAAAUGAAUAGAAAUAAAGGUUUGAAAUGGAUCACUCUGUAAUGAAUAUAUGUAA